AACGAACGCUGGCGGCAUGCCUAACACAUGCAAGUCGAACGAGACCUUCGGGUCUAGUGGCGCACGGGUGCGUAACGCGUGGGAACCUGCCCUUAGGUUCGGAAUAACUCCCCGAAAGGGGUGCUAAUACCGGAUAAUGUCUUCGGACCAAAGAUUUAUCGCCUUUGGAUGGGCCCGCGUUGGAUUAGCUAGUUGGUAGGGUAAAAGCCUACCAAGGCGACGAUCCAUAGCUGGUCUGAGAGGAUGAUAAGCCACACUGGGACUGAGACACGGCCCAGACUCCUACGGGAGGCAGCAGUGGGGAAUAUUGGACAAUGGGCGAAAGCCUGAUCCAGCAAUGCCGCGUGAGUGAUGAAGGCCUUAGGGUUGUAAAGCUCUUUUACCCGGGAUGAUAAUGACAGUACCGGGAGAAUAAGCUCCGGCUAACUCCGUG
rnacentral:rRNA from 1 species